rnacentral:ncRNA from 2 species
AUCUUAUCAAGAGAAGUGGAGGGACUGGCCCUACGAAACUUCGGCAACAUGGUGAUGCGUGUGCCAAUUCCAGAAGCAAUAUGCUGAAGAUAAGAA